rnacentral:rRNA from 1 species
UACGUAGGUGACAAGCGUUGUCCGGAUUUACUGGGCGUAAAGAGCGCGCAGGCGGUCGAUCAAGUCGAGUGUGAAAUCCCCCGGCUCAACUGGGGAGGGUUAUUCGAUACUGAUCGACUCGAAGGCAGGAGAGGGUAGUGGAAUUCCCGGUGUAGCGGUGAAAUGCGCAGAUAUCAGGAAGAACACCCGUGGCUAAGGCGGUUCUGUAGUACGGUACUGACGCUGAGACGCGAAAGCGUGGGGAGCGAACAGG